UACGUAGGGUGCGAGCGUUAAUCGGAAUUACUGGGCGUAAAGUGUGCGCAGGUGGCCGCGCAAGUCGAGUGUGAAAUCCCCGAGCUUAACUUGGGAAUUGCGCUCGAAACUGCGUGGCUCGAGUGUGGCAGAGGAAGGUGGAAUUCCACGUGUAGCGGUGAAAUGCGUAGAGAUGUGGAGGAACACCGAUGGCGAAGGCAGCCUUCUGGGCCAACACUGACGCUCAUGCACGAAAGCGUGGGGAGCAAACAGU
rnacentral:rRNA from 1 species